AUGUAUACCCCCACAUACAUUAACAUGAAGACCCGCAGUGGUGUCUGCAUUAUCUCAAUGGAUGUAACGGCGAUUAAAACAUGGCUGCAGAGGAAAAAUGCAUAGAACAUGACUGCGAUUUGAUCUCACACCUGUCUGGAACCCAAGGGGUUAAGCGUUCCUGGCUACAAAGAAUGAUGGAUGGCUGGGUGAGUGGAGUUAUGUCCCCCUGGAUGCAGUUAGAAAAGACGAGUUUUAAACACUGACAGGCGAGUCUUAUGUUAGCGACAAGAUGUCCAUGCGGCCGCUUACCAGAGAUGUGCCGACACAACUUUUGAUUGAAACCACAGUCUCCUUGAAAGCAGAUUUUUAGAGUUCUGUGAAAAAAAAAUAAUAAUUACAGGUCCUGGAAUUAAACAUAUGGAGAGGGAGGCCAUGAAGAACAC